AAAUCGGGGAGUAUCUACCAAAGCUCCUUCCAAAUCUCAGGAUUCUGGGAAUUUGUAGUGUCUCUGGGAACACAGACAGACCUAUGGGAACACACGGGAACCUCUUUUAGAAAACCUGACAAGCGAAUAUGACUUGGAUCUUUUCCGAAGAGCACAAGCCCGGGCUUCAGAGGAUUUGGAGAAGUUAAGGCUGCAAGGCCAAAUCACAGAGGGAAGCAACAUGAUUAAAACAAUUGCUUUUGGCCGCUAUGAGCUUGAUACCUGGUACCAUUCUCCAUAUCCUGAAGAAUAUGCACGGCUGGGACGUCUCUAUAUGUGUGAAUUCUGUUUAAAAUAUAUGAAGAGCCAAACGAUACUCCGCCGGCACAUGGCCAAAUGUGUGUGGAAACACCCACCUGGUGAUGAGAUAUAUCGCAAAGGUUCAAUCUCUGUGUUUGAAGUGGAUGGCAAGAAAAACAAGAUCUACUGCCAGAACCUGUGCCUGUUGGCCAAACUUUUUCUGGACCACAAGACAUUAUAUUAUGAUGUGGAGCCCUUCCUGUUCUAUGUUAUGACAGAG
rnacentral:sRNA from 1 species